rnacentral:lncRNA from 1 species
UUUUUUAGAACGAAGGCUCGAGGAUGAGUCCGGCUUUGAAUUAACAAAGCCAUCAACCGGCCAGGUAUUACAGCCAACAAGUGUCAGCCCAACGCCACUUACAAAGAAAAUAAAACACGAGCGGCCCAAAGAUACAUGGGUGCUGAAGAUACAGCUUACAACACAAUCCCAAACUACAAGCACCUAAAGUAGAUAGAGAUGAAGAACCGCUUGAAGAAAGGACCGCCCUUGAAGCUCGAAACAUUGGCGCCCAAGGAAACAUCAGCGACAAUGGCAUUGCCGACCGCCUUGGCCACAAACACACCAAAGCUCCUGCACUGGACCAGAAAGAUACCACACCUUCCUUCUCCCUCGCCGAAGAGGGUCCCUACCCCCUCAUCCUGGCUCGAAGGACGCCGCACCGUCAAGCGAGGGAUGAGUUCACCCUAGAACAAGGAAAGGCACGAUCUUGGGGUAGCAGACACAGAACAUUUGCACGCAUCCGUGUCGUAGCAACGGGCAUACCUCACUGCACAUUUAAGCAUAGACCGCCGGUGUCCAAACAAGAAAAGAGUAAGCUGUAGGAAACGGCACAUCAGAGCUGAAGAAGCAGCAAGCUUGCGGCGAACAGCAGGGAAACAAAUCUUGCACAUGAUGCGGGGGAUAUGGCCCUGGUGUUGAUUGAGCUGCCACGACCCUGUUGCCGGGAAGGGGAACCCUUUUCUCUUCCACCUAGGCUCAAGGGAGCCGAGCACCGACGAACAGGGGACGGCCAGCAAGCACCAAACAGAGAAUGGCAAGCCCGGCAUCGCUGGAAACCAAGUUGUCACACGGACCCCCGCUGCAAUUGCAAACCUCGGAUCUAGCACCGCACACCUACACCCUUCUAACCAGACGACGCCCCCAGGGAGGUUACGACGCCGAG